UUUGUUGGGUGAAAUCCAAGCUAAAACCAAGUGGUAAGCUUCAUGCUAUAAUUUGAAGCCUAUGAUUGGUUUACUAUGGUGAGAAUGAUUGUGUGCAUAUGUGGUAUUAUUGUGGUGUCAUGGGUAUGGUUGGAAGACAAUUAUAUUAAUUGGAAGUUUAGAAAAGAAAUGAAUUGUGUGGAUAUAUGUGUUGUUAGGAAAAGCUUAAAAGGUUAUGGAUGUUGGUGCGUAAGAAUGGAUAUUGAUGUUAUGCUUGGUGGCAACAUGUAAAUGAGAAUAGUGUUACAUGUAAACGUCGAAAGUGUUUGAUGGAAGUAAAUUUGUAGUUGCUGCCAUAUGUUAGAUAAUUGUUGUGGAAAUGAUGGUUAAACUUGAUAAAUAUCCUUAGACAAACUUGAUAUAUGUGUUAGAGUUAUAAAUAAGUUACUGGUAUCUAUAAUCUAAAGAAUUACACAAGUAAGGGAUAAAGGCAACUUUGGUAAAAAUGUGUCAAGAUGUAAAUUAGUUGAAUAAGGAUUCAUGAUUAAAGGAAAAAGAGAAGUGGAAAUGAUGUACACUAAAGCUAUUGCAUUUGUAUGGUUGCUAGGAAGUGCAAAGGUAAAGUUAGAGUACUGUGUUGGUGUGUCGGGGGAAAUAACGAGCAGCCGACAAGUAGGAAUAGCUAGAUACACCUCCGAACCAAUAGCGAUGUAAUAUCCCACUAUCGUAAGGUGAGUGAACUUACAUUAAAAUGUUUUGGGAUAUACACAUUUAUAUUUGAUUGAAUCCCCUAAAAUGUUUUAUUGGUUUUUCUUCAUAAACUUGCACAAGAACAAGCCCUUAUGAAAUGUUUUUAUUUUAUGAUAUGGAUAGUGUGAUGAAUCCAUGUGUUUCUGUAUAAUAUUGAUAUAUAUAUAUAUAUAUAUAUAUAUACACUAUGUCAUAAAUGGUACAUUAUGUGACAAAAUACAACCGUGCAUGUAUGGGGUGAAUGUGCACCUGCCGGUGAUGACGGUGGUGAGGGAGAUGGAUGGUGAUAUUGCCCCUGUGCACGAUGUGGGGGGAUGCACACAAUGGCAUUAGCUAUGCACGAUGUGGGGGGAUGCACAUGAGCUGGGUGAGAUAGGGUGUCUGGCUAUGUGCACGAUGUGGGGGGAUGCGCACGAUGUGGGGGGAUGCACAUGAGCUGGGUAAGACGGGGUGUCCGACUAUGUGCACGAUGUGGGGGGAUGCACAUGAGCUGGGUGAGAUGGUGGUGUAUGUGCUUAUAUAUAUAUAUAUUUACUAUAUAGAGAUGUUUGGAUUUAAUAUGUGAUUGCAUUGACUGUUGAAAACUUGAGUACUGUCAAUGUGUUCAAUUUAAUGUGCAAUGUGGCAUGAGUGGAUUUUCCCGGUGGUAGUGAAAGCCCUUUGGAUUUUAUCUAGCCAGAAUUUCAUUGCAGCGAGAAUGCCUUUUCGCUGCAGUGAGAGUCAAUCUAUUAUGCCUGACUUGCUUGAAUUCUACUAAAGUUUUCACUUUUAAACUUCUUUGUGGUUCAUGGAUCGUUCGUUAUCAAGUGGCUAAACAACCAAGGGUUUGAAUGAGGGGUUUUAAUAAGAGUUAAACUUAAUUGCAUUGUUUUUUUGAACUUAAGUGCAUCAUGAUUUCUAAACUUUCCUUAACGUUGCUUGUUCCCUUCCUAUGUCACUCACUGAGUUUGUACUCACGUUUUUAAACUUCAUGUUUUAGGUUUCCUGAGUUAAAGGUGAUUGGAUCCUAGGACGAGGUGCUCCUCCCUAGCCAUUGCUCUGUAGGUUUACCGUGACAUUAAAUAUUAGCAACUGUGCCCAGAGUCACUCCGCUGACGGUCAAGGUCUAAUUAUGUGUAUAUGAAUACUUGAUGUGAAAUAUUAAGAUUCAUUUGUUAAUCUAUAUAUGUAUAUAAUGGUUGAUGAUGCCAUUAUGAAUGCAUGAUUGGGUUUUAUGAAUUGUUUCCAAAGGAAUUACAUUUGAACACUACGAAUUAUGGAUUUUAAAGAAAUAUGGAUUUAUGUAUAAGAUUAUAUAAAUAGACUUG
rnacentral:lncRNA from 1 species